UGAACGCUGGCGGCGUGCCUAACACAUGCAAGUCGAACGGAGAUUGACGCUGAUGAGGCUCGGCGGAUUCUUGUAAUCUUAGUGGCGGACGGGUGAGUAACGCGUGGGCAACCUGGCUCGUACGUGGGGGAUAGCAGUUGGAAACGACUGAAUAAUACCGCAUAAGCGCACAGUACCGCAUGGUACAGUGUGAAAAACUCCGGUGGUACGAGAUGGGCCCGCGUCAGAUUAGCCAGUUGGUGGGUAACGGCCUACCAAAGCAACGAUCUGUAGCCGGACUGAGAGGUCGGACGGCCACAUUGGGACUGAGACACGGCCCAAACUCCUACGGGAGGCAGCAGUGGGGGAUAUUGCACAAUGGGCGAAAGCCUGAUGCAGCGACGCCGCCGUGAGUGAAGAAGUAUUUCGGUAUGUAAAGCUCUAUCAGCAGGGAAGAAAGACUCGUAAGAGAGAUGACGGUACCUGACUAAGAAGCCCCGGCUAACUACGUGCCAGCCGCGGC
rnacentral:rRNA from 1 species